CCUACGGGAGGCAGCAGUGGGGAAUCUUAGACAAUGGGCGCAAGCCUGAUCUAGCCAUGCCGCGUGAGUGAUGAAGGCCUUAGGGUCGUAAAGCUCUUUCGCCUGUGAUGAUAAUGACAGUAGCAGGUAAAGAAACCCCGGCUAACUCCGUGCCAGCAGCCGCGGUAAUACGGAGGGGGUUAGCGUUGUUCGGAAUUACUGGGCGUAAAGCGCACGUAGGCGGAUUGGAAAGUUGGGGGUGAAAUCCCGGGGCUCAACCCCGGAACUGCCUCCAAAACUAUCAGUCUAGAGUUCGAGAGAGGUGAGUGGAAUUCCAAGUGUAGAGGUGAAAUUCGUAGAUAUUUGGAGGAACACCAGUGGCGAAGGCGGCUCACUGGCUCGAUACUGACGCUGAGGUGCGAAAGUGUGGGGAGCAAACAGGAUUAGAUACCCUGGUAGUCCACACCGUAAACGAUGAAUGCCAGUCGUCGGGUAGUAUACUGUUCGGUGACACACCUAACGGAUUAAGCAUUCCGCCUGGGGAGUACGGUCGCAAGAUUAAAACUCAAAGGAAUUGACGG
rnacentral:rRNA from 1 species